GGAUGUGAGGGUGAUCUGGCUGCACUAUCUGUCAUCCACUGAUCACUGCAGUUGAUUUGUCUGAUCCAACUGGCUAGGUGCGUGUCCUCUUCCUCCCUCACUGUUCCAAGUGUUUUCUCCUGAAGCUGUGGGCUUGGUUGAUGAGGACAACCAUCCCCCCUAGAGGAGGACCAUUCUUCAGUUAAGGGGAUACAUGUAGCUCUGCUCUCCUGCUAGAAACAAGCUCUCAAGAAUUAAGGGAUAUGUCUCUAAGAUAUAAUGGGUAAUUGAGGCUACAGAG
rnacentral:snRNA from 1 species